AGACGCAAAAAGUUUUUAGAUUUUGACACUGUAGUAUUUUUAUUUUUAUUUGACAAAUAUUGUCUAAUUAUGGAGUAAUUAGGCUUAAAAGAUUUGUCUCGUGAUUUACAGGUAAACUGUGCAAUUAAUUAUUCUUUUUAUUUAUAUUUAAUACUUCAUGCAUGUGCCGUAAGAUUUGAUGUGACAGGAAAUCUUGUAAAGUUUUGGGUUUUUAGGUGUAUCUAAACAAGGCCUACGAUUGUAGUGUUUAAGCAACGCUGGAACACACUGCUGGAAGAUGUCGAAGUAAUUAAGCAAUGCACUCACCCGUGCUGCUACGAAACAGCGUAGAGAUGCAAUGAAAAGACUGACGACAUCACAUCAGACACACUAUGCCAAAACAGCACAAAGGAGACCUCAACAGUGACUCAAAACUGAAACGUGUCACUAAUAAGUAUACUAGUGACGCGGGUGAACGAAGUGCAUCACUGCUAACUUUUUGCCCAUACCCUAGGAACAAGACGCGUCACUAAAGAGAAGGUAUCGGUGACUCUUCUCAAUAAAAUGCGUCACUAGUAAUAGAAGUGACGCGUUUUAAGUAGGCACGUCACUGAUAUGUAGCUGUAUUAGUGACUCUUCCUGACGAAACACGUCACUGGUAACAAAAGUGACGUAUUUUACAAAGACGCGUCACUGAUAAUGAGAGAUAUUAGUGACUCGUCCCAACAAAACGUGUCACUGGUAUUAAAAGUUACGUGUAAUGUCCAAACACAUCACUCAUUUCAUACAUACCAAUGACUCUUCCUGUUGAGCCACGUCACUGAUUACCUAGCGAGAAAAUUAACAAGAUGAACGGUUGUCUUGCCGAGGGAAUAGUUGCCUCGGCACGUCCUCCUGACAAGUUACCAUCGGAGACAUAAAAAACAGAAAAAAUACAUAUAGACUACAUGACAUCGUAUGUAUAUGUAAACGAAAAGGAAACAUAUUAAAAAGAAAUUAGAAAUUUAUAAAUCUUUUAAAAAUAAAAAGAUAAGUAAAUAAUAAAGAAAAAAAAUUUAAGUAGAAGCAAGGAAAGGAAAAAUUAAAAUUAAUUGAGUAAAAUAAAUAUAGUAAAAGAACAAAGAAAAUGAAACGAACCACAAAAAGUCCAAAAAAGGAAAAAGGAAAAAAUUAAUUGGUCAAUUCUCUUUUUCUUCCGCACCCACGGCUACUCGUGCCUCCACCCGCGCCCCAGGCCGCCUCCACCCAUGACGCUCUAGCCGUCUCCGCUCGCCUCCAUGACCAACCAUGGCCCCAACGCCGUCACGGAGUGCUCUCCUCACCUAGACCCGUUCGUCGUCGACACCGCCGUGGACGUGGGGGAUGACAACAGGGCGGGGAACGCCUCUCCUCCUCCUCCGCCGCCGCCGCUUCCUCCCCCUCCUUCUGUGGCAGUGACGCAGUCCGCUACACCGGCAUGGGCCUCGUCCCUCCCGAUGGCGGCGGCUACACCGGUAUGGCCGUAUGCGCCUCGCCCCUCUCGACAGCACCAACCCAGCCGCAGCUCUCUCCAGAUCCGCCCUCACCCGAUUGGGCCUCGCCGCUGGCGCUGACUGAGUCCCCGACCUCGUCUCGCCUGGCUAUCGCAACACCACCCUACCCUUCCCCGCC
rnacentral:lncRNA from 1 species